CUUCACCGACCCCAGCCACAGCGGCGUUUCCCGAUCCUGGCCGUAGGUCGCCAGCAACGCCUGCGCCUC
rnacentral:antisense_RNA from 1 species